rnacentral:rRNA from 1 species
UACAGAGGUCUCGAGCGUUGUUCGGAUUCAUUGGGCGUAAAGGGUGCGUAGGCGGUCUUCUAAGUUUGAUGUGAAAUCCCGGGGCUCAACCCUGGAAUGGCAUUGAAUACUGGAGGACUAGAGUACCGGAGAGGAAACUGGAAUUUACGGUGUAGCAGUGAAAUGCGUAGAGAUCGUAAGGAAGACCAGUGGCGAAGGCGAGUUUCUGGACGGUAACUGACGCUGAGGCACGAAGGCCAGGGGAGCAAACGGG